GUUAUAGGGAAACCCCCAAUUCCUGAGACACGGAUGAGGGCACAUUCUAGUCUGUGGUUCCGAAACCAGCCAUGAUUCGCUGUGAGCUUCCCACCCCUGUGCUGGAAGGCGCCAAGUUCUGAAGACCUGUGGCCUCCUCGUGGCCUCCAGGUCCUCUGCGGGAAACACCCAGCGUCCUUUGUCUGACCAACUCCUACACGUCAAUCACCUGCAAUUCGGUCGCCGCCUCCUCCAGGAAAUUUCCCUGGAUCUGCAGAAAGUUACUCCUUCCCUGAGGAUGGAUGUCAGUUGCUGGGUUCGUGCACCUUCCCUUUGGCUUCUGUCCCACUAGUCUAUGGUCCAAACAUAAGAUCCUUUAAACUCCCGUAUGAGCCCCUCCAGUGCGAGCUUCCGCAUAAGCUGACCGUGAAACCUCUGGAGCCAAGGAUGUCUUUAAAUCUAGAUGGUCUUGCCUCAGCCUCUCUGGUACUUGAGAUGACAGACUUGAACCACCAGAGACAAUCGUCUCUCCCCCACCCCCACCCACCCCCGUUACACCACCACCACCACCACCCCACCUGCUGUGCGUCAGUCACCUCCAGGAUCUUACUGUGUAACCCUGACUAGUCUUGGAACCCCCUGUGUAAGCUAGGCUGGCCUUGACCUUAUAGAGAUCUGCCUACCUCUGUCUCCCAAGUGUUGGGAAUUAAAGGCGUGUGUGCGCCACCAC
ensembl:processed_transcript predicted gene 15545